UACAGAGGUCUCAAGCGUUGUUCGGAUUCAUUGGGCGUAAAGGGUGCGUAGGUGGCGCGCUAAGUCAGGUGUGAAAUUUCGGAGCUUAACUCCGAAACUGCAUUUGAUACUGGCGUGCUUGAGGACUGGAGAGGAGACUGGAAUUCACGGUGUAGCAGUGAAAUGCGUAGAUAUCGGGAGGAACACCAGUGGCGAAGGCGGUUGCCUGGGGCUUUGCUGACGCUGAUGCGCGAAAGCGUGGGGGAGCGAGUCCGG
rnacentral:rRNA from 1 species